CGUGGGUAACCUGCCCAAGAGAUCGGGAUAACACCUGGAAACAGAUGCUAAUACCGGAUAACAACAGAUGAUGCCUAUCAACUGUUUAAAAGAUGGUUCUGCUAUCACUCUUGGAUUGACCUGCGGUGCAUUAGCUAGUUGGUAGGGUAACGGCCUACCAAGGCGAUGAUGCAUAGCCGAGUUGAGAGACUGAUCGGCCACAUUGGGACUGAGACACGGCCCAAACUCCUACGGGAGGCAGCAGUU
rnacentral:rRNA from 1 species